rnacentral:lncRNA from 1 species
GGAUAUCACACAUUCUCAUUUAAUAAAGUAGCAUAGAAACACACCAUCAAAAUUAACAAAACACGGAUCAGACCUGAAUAUAUCACAUACCUUGAACAUAUCCCAAACAAUAGUGCAUUAUAUGUUAACAGGUCAUACUUACUUAGCCUAUAUUAUAUCAUACAUACGUACAUAUAACAGAUUAUACCCUAACAGGUCACCAGAUAUCGAGAAUUAUAGCUUAAUCAGGAACAUACGGGCCCUACGGAAGGCUUACGUUUGAUUUGAAUGACGUUUAUGGCCCUAGGAAAAAUUUUCAAUUUUUGGCCCACACACCCGUGCGACCCAAGUCAGUGCCUCACCACACGGCUGUGUGGCAUGCACCUCGUCGAGACACCGUUCUUUGCGUCAUCGGGACGUGUCAAUCUUCUCGUUGGGACGUCAUGAUUUUCUCAUCACAACGUCAACUCUUCCUCAUCAAGACGUUGGCUCGUAAAUACAAGGUACAUUCCAUAAAGGGCCUUAUUGUUCUAAGCUUAGGUUCUAAGCUCUAAUUUCAGAUUCAAUUCUUGCAAUUCCUCUACUUCAAUCUCCUCACCACUCAAU